rnacentral:rRNA from 1 species
GCAUGUCUAAGUAUAAGCAAUCUAUACUGUGAAACUGCGAAUGGCUCAUUAAAUCAGUUAUCGUUUAUUUGAUAGUACCUUACUACAUGGAUACCUGUGGUAAUUCUAGAGCUAAUACAUGCUAAAAACCCCGACUUCGGGAGGGGUGUAUUUAUUAGAUAAAAAACCAAUGCCCCUCGGGGCUCCUUGGUGAUUCAUAAUAACUUAACGAAUCGCAUGGCCUUGCGCCGGCGAUGGUUCAUUCAAAUUUCUGCCCUAUCAACUUUCGAUGGUAGGAUAGUGGCCUACCAUGGUGGCAACGGGUAACGGGGAAUUAGGGUUCGAUUCCGGAGAGGGAGCCUGAGAAACGGCUACCACAUCCAAGGAAGGCAGCAGGCGCGCAAAUUACCCAAUCCCGACACGGGGAGGUAGUGACAAUAAAUACUGAUACGGGGCUCUUUUGGGUCUCGUAAUUGGAAUGAGAACAAUCUAAACCCCUUAACGAGGAACAAUUGGAGGGCAAGUCUGGUGCCAGCAGCCGCGGUAAUUCCAGCUCCAAUAGCGUAUAUUAAAGUUGUUGCAGUUAAAAAGCUCGUAGUUGAACCUUGGGUCUGGCUGGCCGGUCCGCCUCACCGCGAGUACUGGUCCGGCUGGACCUUUCCUUCUGGGGAAGCCCAUGGCCUUCACUGGCUGUGGGGGGAACCAGGACUUUUACUGUGAAAAAAUUAGAGUGUUCAAAGCAGGCCUUUGCUCGGAUACAUUAGCAUGGAAUAAUAGAAUAGGACGUGCGGUUCUAUUUUGUUGGUUUCUAGGACCGCCGUAAUGAUUAAUAGGGAUAGUCGGGGGCGUCAGUAUUCAGCUGUCAGAGGUGAAAUUCUUGGAUUUGCUGAAGACUAACUACUGCGAAAGCAUUCGCCCAAGGAUGUUUUCAUUAAUCAGGGAACGAAAGUUAGGGGAUCGAAGACGAUCAGAUACCGUCGUAGUCUUAACCAUAAACUAUGCCGACUAGGGAUCGGGCGGCGUUUCUAUGAUGACCCGCUCGGCACCUUACGAGAAAUCAAAGUU